rnacentral:lncRNA from 1 species
AGCCCCAGCACUUGAGACAGAGGCCGGGAGUUCGCUCAGAGCUGGAGUCCAACCUGUUAUACAUAGUGAGUUCCAGGUUAGCCUUAAGUGGAAGCCUUUGGGUGGAUUAUUGUGGGUCUUAUUUGAGAAAGGGCAAACUGGGACAACAUGGUGCUAAGUUUCUUUCUCCUGGAUUAGGGGUUUUCACAGUUGAUGCCUUCUUGGUCAAGUCCAUUCCUGUCGGAGUAUAGGAGGUAAAGCCGGGGAUCUCUGAGGUAGAGGAAAAGACGAAGGCUGAAGGAUGACCGUCCUCACUGACAUUCAGUAGAAGGAGAGAACUUAUCCUCUGAUGACCACAGGUGGUGCUUACACACACACACACACACACACACACACAUAUACACAAACACACUUUCUCUCACACUCACACACAUACAUGUACAAAAUAAAUAAUAAUGUAAUAAUGCAAUUUUUAACAGUGAAGAAUGACCUGAUAACAUGUUUCUGGGUGUGAAAGCGAAAGGACAACUUUGGCUGCCUUUCCUCAGGUGAGGCCCACCUUGGAUUUUUGUUGUUGUUGUUGUUUGUUUUGUUUUGUUUUGAAACAGAGCCUCUCAGUAGCCUGGAACUCCCCAAAUAGGUUACAUGUGUUGCAGGAUAUUUGAUCACACUGUGAACCCCAAGAUUGUGUUACAUACUGAAGAAGAAGAGAAUAAGAAGAAAUUAAGUUGCACUCCGGCACCCACACCCCGGAGAAGCCUCAAUACUUGUAGUUAGUUGGAGCAUCUGGGUUCCAGGGACCUGAAGCACAUACCAGGGCAUGCUAGUGAGCAUGGGCGUUUCUCCCCAGCCCUGAAAUCCCGUUUUAAAAGGUUCUCUCUUACUGCUUUUGAAUCUGCUCACGUCAAACCUCCUCGGUGCUUGAAGCCAAAGUGCUCACAUUUUUCUUGUCGAUGGAGGAGGCAAUUCAAUUAUAUAUUUAAGAGGCUGAGGCUGUUGCUCACCUGUGCACAGACAUAUAUCAGUCACGACCGAAAUUUCCUGGCGAUAUGCCCAGAGAUAAAUAUAUCUGAGUAUGACCAUGGAAUUGGACGUGGGAACGCCUCUGAGAAUUAUUGUGUCCGGCCAGCAGAUCACAGGUCUAGGUUCGAGCCUGGAAAGGCAUUUUGGAAACCUGGAAGAGAAGAGGGACUAGGCGACGAGAGAAAGAAAUGUAGCUAAGUAAAAGCAGAUUCUGAUCAAAGCUCAAUUUUACUGUUCCGCACGCAGUAUGAAGCAGGGGAAGGGGGCGCCGAUUCCUGCCAAAUAGUCCUGGGGACCAGUAGCAGGGUGACCACGUGUAUGGUUCCGAACAGCAAAGCAGCAGGUUCCAGCAGUGGGCAUGGCAGAACGAUUUAGCGGCAAGCUCCAUCCAGGUGUAAACACUGGAACCAUUGAGGCUGGGGGAGGGGAGACUACAGAGAAUGGUACCCAAGCCUUGCACAUGAUAGGCAAGCAGGCCAACAUGGGCUACAUCCCCUCCUCUCUUUUUCUUUUCUGUUUUCUCCUCCUCCCCCUGCCCCACCCCAUGUAGCCCUGGCUGUCCUAGAACUCGCGCUAUGGAGCAGGCUGGCCUUGAACUCACAGAGUUCUGCCUGCCUCUGCCUCCUGAAUGCUGGAAUCAAAGGCUCCCCCUAGCCUUUUCUUAACUCUUUGUUUUGAGACAUGGACUUACCCAUGUUGUUCCAGAACACUUGCAGCCUAGGGGGACCUCGGAUUUGUGACCCUCUUACUUUAGCUGAAUGGUGAGAUUUAUGCCUGCUUCAUUAGGUCAAACUUCUUCAUAUGCACCUUCUCAUUCUUCUAUCUCUAUGCAGGAUUUGCUUCAGAUGGUGAAAGGCUGUACCAUGUCCAUGCUUCUUCCUA